rnacentral:rRNA from 1 species
CGCAAUGGACGAAAGUCUGACGGAGCAACGCCGCGUGAGUGAUGAAGGUUUUCGGAUCGUAAAGCUCUGUUGUUAGGGAAGAACAAGUGCGAGAGUAACUGCUCGCACCUUGACGGUACCUAACCAGAAAGCCACGGCUAACUACGUGCCAGCAGCCGCGGUAAUACGUAGGUGGCAAGCGUUGUCCGGAAUUAUUGGGCGUAAAGGGCUCGCAGGCGGUUUCUUAAGUCUGAUGUGAAAGCCCCCGGCUCAAACCGGGGAGGGUCAUUGGAAACUGGGAAACUUGAGUGCAAGAAGAGGAGAGUUGGGAAUUCCACGUGUAUCGGGUGAAAUGCGUAGAGAUGUGGAGGAACACCAGUGGCGAAGGCGACUCUCUGGUCUGUAACUGACGCUGAGGAGCGAAAGCGUGGGGACCGAACAGGAUUUAGAUACCCUGGUAGUCCACGCCGUAAACGAUGAGUGCUAAGUGUUAGGGGUUUCCGCCCCUUAGUGCUGCAGCUAACGCAUUAAGCACUCCGCCUGGGGAGUACGGUCGCAAGACUGAAACUCAAAGGAAUGACGGGGC